rnacentral:lncRNA from 1 species
UAUGUGUAAUUUUUAAAGCAUAUACAACAAACCUUUCUCAAAUCAGUUUAUCUGGUUCAAACGUCAGAAAACUUCCACCUUUCCAGUUUCCUCAAACAGUUUCUCAUUCAAAAUUCAAAUUCAUUUUUUCCCCAAACCAGAUCUGCAAAAAAAAUUCCAUAACCCAGAGAGAGAGAGAGCCGAUGGAAACCCUGAUGGAAACGCCCUUGAUUCAACCGAUCUUCAUCUAUAAGUUUUUGACCGAUUAGGGGUUUUCGAUUCGUCGUCUGUAGAGAUGAAGAUCGUCUUCUUCAGGUACCAUAGUUGAUGAUGUUUGAUGAUGAUAUUUGUGUAUGCUCAUAUAGGAAUGGACGAGGCCUUAGUGACUUAAUAACAAUGAAAGUCUAUUUGUUCAGGUUUUGUUUCAAAUUCCAAUGUAAUGUAAUACAUUUAAUUCAAUAAAACGAAACUUUUUAAUCCAUGGUUGUGAAA